rnacentral:rRNA from 1 species
UACGAAGGGGGCUAGCGUUGCUCGGAUUGACUGGGCGUAAAGGGCGCGUAGGCGGUUCGUACAGUCAGACGUGAAAUUCCUGGGCUCAACCUGGGGGCUGCGUUUGAUACGUGCGGACUUGAGUGCGGAAGAGGGUCGUGGAAUUCCCAGUGUAGAGGUGAAAUUCGUAGAUAUUGGGAAGAACACCGGUGGCGAAGGCGGCCCACUGGAUCGGUACUGACGCUGAGGUGCGAAAGCGUGGGGAGCAAACAGG